CGGCCGCUGCGGGUCUGCAAGGCCCCGGUGAGGGGAACGCCUGAGCCACCGGCCAUGGCCGACCGCGGAUGCCCUCUGGAGGCGGCGCCGCUGCCCGCCGAGGUGCUCGAGAGCCUGGCGGAGCUGGAGCUGGAGCUGUCCGAAGGUGACAUCACUCAGAAAGGAUAUGAGAAGAAGAGGGCGAAGCUGCUGGCUCGUUAUAUCCCCCUCAUUCAAGGCAGAUGUUCACACGGAAGCCGUGCAGGCAGCUCUGGCCAAGUACAAGGAGAGGAAGAUGCCCAUGCCUUCAAAGAGACGGUCUGCCCUUGUGCACUCAUCCGUGGAAACCUAUACACCUCCAGGUACUGAGAGAUGGUGUCCGAAAGAGUCUCAUGAGCAUGGCAUGGGCCCAGUGGUAUAAUGUUUGUUUUCACUGAACUGGAAUACCCUUAUAGCCUGUGGUACAGGUUUGAGAAACUUAGAAAUUAAAA
rnacentral:lncRNA from 1 species